rnacentral:siRNA from 1 species
ACGUCUGCAUAUGCUAGACCUGCC